GACGAACGCUGGCGGCGUGCUUAAUACAUGCAAGUCGAACGGACAGGCCAUGCUUUUGUUGGGUGCUCGUGUGGGGAACGGGUGAGUAACACGUGAGUAACAUGCACUUGACUUUGGGGUAACUUCAGGAAACUGGGGCUCAUACCCGAUAGGAGCUCCUGCUGCAUGGUGGGGGUUGGAAAGUUUCGGCGGUUGUGGCUGGUAUCGCGGCUUAUCCGCUUGUUGGUGGGGUAGUGGAUUACCAAGGCUUUGACGGGUAGCCGGCCUGGGAGGGUGACCGGCCUCAUUGGGCCUAAGGUACGGCCCAGACGGCUACGGGAGGCAGCAGGCGAGAAUAUUGCACAGUGAGCGGAAGCCUGAGGCAGCAGCGCCGCGAGCGGAAUGACGGCCUUCGAGUUGUAAACCACUUUCUCCGUAGACGAAGCCGUAUUGACGGUAAUUGGUAAAGAAGCACCGGCUAACUACGUG
rnacentral:rRNA from 1 species